rnacentral:tRNA from 1 species
GCCUGGGUGGCUGUUGGUUAAGCAUCUGAUUUCGGCUCAGGUCACGAUCUCAGGGUUUGUGAGUUCGAGCCCCACAUCAGGUU